CAAGCUAUGCAGUACAAGGAUGCCUGUCUCCUCCUCUAUCUGCUGCUGUUCCUUCCUGGAGCUGGCUGACCACUUGCUAUAGCCAUCAAAAGACUCUAAGCCAUCUGCUGUGUUCAGAAAAUGCUUUAGCAUUUGGCUUGAACAGGAUAAGCACCCUUCUCCCAUAAAGUCAUCUUGGGACACUGUCGAGCUAAUGUAACCAAAAUUAAUGAACUACACCAACUGAAGCUCAGCUGCAAAACCCCAUCUACGAGCAUUACUGGAUCAAAACAGGGAAUGGAAACUCAGAUAACAAGAUGUGAGAUAAGCAGCCUGGCUGUUAAACUGCAGACAGCUUUCAGGGUCUGUGGCACACUACCUUCAGUAACUUUUCACGGAAAGAGAGACAGGAAGAUUGCUAUUACAGACCAAAGCUUGUUACAUCUGUUCUUAAGCUGCAAAUCCCCACACAUUGCAGUUCCCAGCAGCAAACACUGAAUGCCACCGUCGUGAUAUUUUGCCAACGCCUUUGCAAGCAAUCUUGAAAACCUCCCUGAACACUAGCAAGAGAAAAAGAAUUUCAGACAGGAAGCAAUACAAUCUGAUGUCGUUACUACUGAAUUAUGCUUUGCUAUCUGAUCUUUAAGAAGGCAUCAAAGAUUGUAAUGGACAAGCUGUAGAUUUUUAUUUCUUAUCAUUUCAGAUGAUAUUCUGAUUGACUGAGGCAUUAAGACAAUGAGAAGCAUUUAAGAGAAGCAGCAACAGACAGCCUUCACCCUGUGGCGCUCUCAGAUGCAUUUAAUAAAUCAUCACCACUCCUCUUCCCUUUUCCAAGGAAAAGAAACCCAAGAAUGCUAUGCCCAGUAGUCAAGAUAAAUAUAGCGGCUGGAAGAUAAAAAUAUCAGCUAGCUCUUCUCACUCCAACGCUCAAAACUGCACCUGUACAUUAAAAUGUAAUGAGCAUGUGCCCCUGCCAUGCUUGCAGGAACCAGUGCCCUUCUGGCUCAUUUGCUUUGGCUGUUCCUCAGUAGAUGUGACAUACCUUCGGUUCAGCCUAGAGAGCAACCUUAUCCGUAGCUCUCAAACUCCUGUUUCAAUCCUGCCAUGUAAUUGUUCCCUCUCGCUUCUCUUAAUGAAUUGUGUAGAGAUCAUAAGAAGAAGUAGCUGUUAUACAGCUACCUUAUAGCAUAAGUAUGUGCUAUUUUUAAUGGCAUUUCUUAAGGAUGUGUUUUAGUGAUGGGAUUCAGUAGGUCAGGCUGAUGAUUGGACUUGAUGAUCUUGAGGCACUUUUCCAA